CCUAGCAGUAAUGUCAGACAAAUUAGUGAAAACCUGGCAGACAUCUAUUGAACAACUCAGGAAAGAGGUGCUGGAUAUCGGCAACAGAACGGCACACGUUGAAAACAAACUAAGUGAAUAUGCCACAGCACACAAUGACAUAGCCGACCAUGUAGCAGCCUUGGAACAAAAGGUGACAUUAAUAGAGACGCGCAUGGCGGAUGCAGAGGACAGAUCACGGAGAAAUAACCUCAGAUUAAGAGGUUUUCCUGAAACGGUCCUCCCCGGCGACCUACAGGCGUAUGUCAGAGUCCUGAUGAGAGCAUA